rnacentral:lncRNA from 1 species
GAGAGAUCUCAACUGUAUGGAUGGAAAAUAAAUUGUUGGUGGUGAAAACAAAAAACAGUUAUCUAUGACAUUUUAAGUGAGUUUUCAGACAUAUGGGCUAUUGGUGUUUUUAUUUUUAAAUGAAACUGAACAGUCCAUAGCAUUUUAAGCUCACAUGUCAAAUGCGUAGGGUACAAGAUUAGUAAUUUCACAUAAGUAAUGUAUAU